GACUAAUACAUGCAAGUCGAACGCACCCUUCGGGGUGAGUGGCGCACGGCUGAGUAACACGUGGGAAUCUGUCGUCGAGUGGGGGAUAACGCACCGAAAGGUACGCUAAUCCCGCAUACGUUCCGUAAGGAAGAAAGGCGCAAGUCGCUGGACGAGGAGCCUGCGGCCCAUCAGGUAGUUGGAGGGGUAACGGCCCACCAAGCCAAUGACGGGUAGCUGGUCUGUGAGGACAACCAGCCAGACUGGGACUGAGAACGGCCCAGACUCCUACGGGAGGCAGCAGUAAGGAAUUUUCGUCAAUGGGGGAAACCCUGAACGAGCAACGCCGCGUGGAGGAUGACGGUCUUCGGAUUGUAAACUCCUUUUAUGAGGGACGAUAAUGACGGUACCUCAGGAAUAAGCCCCGGCUAACUCUGUGCCAGCAGCCGCGGUAAUACAGAGGGGGCAAGCGUUGUCCGGAAUUACUGGGCGUAAAGAGCACGUAGGCGGUCGCGCAAGUGGUGUGUGAAACCAAUCAGCUUAACUGAUUGACGCCAUGCCAAACUGCGCGACUCGAGUCAUGGAGAGGUUAUUCGAAUUGCUGGUGUAGUGGUGAAAUGCGUAGAGAUCAGCAGGAAGACCAAGGGCGAAAGCAGAUAACUGGCCAUGCACUGACGCUCAGGUGCGAAAGCGUGGGGAGCAAACUGGAUUAGAUACCCAGGUAGUCCACGCUGUAAACGAUGUAUGCUCGGUAUGUGUGCCUGUUAAGGGCAUGGGUACCUUAGGAAACCCGGUAAGCAUACCGCCUGGGAAGUACGAACGCAAGUUUAAAACUCAAAUGAAUUGACGGA
rnacentral:rRNA from 1 species